rnacentral:rRNA from 1 species
CUAUACAUGACUCUGCGCAUAUCAAUAAGCGGAGGAAAAGAAACUAACAAGGAUUCCCCUAGUAACGGCGAGUGAAGCGGGAAGAGCUCAAAUUUGAAAUCUUAAAGGGUUUCCCUUUACGAAUUGUAGUUUAAAGAAGUGUUUUCUGUUGAGGUUUUGGUAAAAGUUCUUUGGAAUAGGACAUCAUAGAGGGUGAGAAUCCCGUAUUUGACCUUUACUUUCAACUUUGUGAUACACUUCCAAAGAGUCGGAUUGUUUGGGAAUGCAGUCCAAAAUGGGUGGUAAAUUUCAUCUAAAGCUAAAUAUUGGCGAGAGACCGAUAGCGAACAAGUACCGUGAGGGAAAGAUGAAAAGAACUUUGAAAAGAGAGUUAAACAGUACGUGAAAUUGUCAAAAGGGAAGCGUUUGACACCAGUGUUGUUUUUCUGAAACAUCAAUUAAAGAACUGUUUAUGCUAAGCUGUUUAGACUUUAUCAGCUAUCUGUUUAGUUUUGAGCUUUUCUUUAAUGCACUUUUCAGUUAACAAGUCAACAUCAAUUUCUUUUGCUGUAAAAAAGCUUGAGGAAGGUGGCUUGAGAUUCGUCUUAAGUGUUUAUAGCCUCUUGCCUAUGCAGUCGGAGAGAUUGAGGUCUGCAGCGUAGAUCCUUCGGGGCUAAAUGCAUUUGUGCUAAGUUAUAGCAUUUUAUAGACAACUUGUUGACUAUGAUUUGUCUUGUAGCUUACUCGCUUAUGUUAUUUUACCUACGCUUAGGAUGUUGAUCUACAGAGCGAGAGU